UAUUUACAGAUUAGAAGGCAGAAAUUCUAAGACUGUUAACAGUUGUCAUUGCCUACCAAACUCAUGGAUUUCCAUCAGCAGUUUCUAAAAUUUAUGCUAAUAAGAUUAAUAUCCUGGAUUUAAUGAAACAGUGUCUAUAGAGAGAUCUGAGAUCUGGCAUAAGAUCUGAGAAAUAGGUCCCUGUACUUUUGGAAAUUCUAAGCACUUAGAACAUCCCACAAUUAUAGAGUACACUCAUCUUCAACUAAAAUGUGAAUGUUCAAGUACCUGAAGAGUUUUAUUUCCUAAGGAAAAAUGCCAAAAAUGAAUGAGUAUGGUCUACACAGGAUCUCCUUUCAACACCAGUAUUUUCUGUGGUUACAGAAGCAUCUUCAGUCAGUUGUCACAAGAGUCUGACAUCUGUUUUUCUUGA
rnacentral:lncRNA from 1 species